UCAACCCGGGCUCAACUACGUACGUAGAUGGCAGGGCAGAGCAGUCGGAUGUCAAAGGUCACAGACCAGAAAGCAAACACAUAACGGACAGAAAGCGUGCAGUUUUGGGUCAGACACGGCAUGACCUCCAAUCUCCGAUUCCAGCGAAAUUCGCCUCCAAAGGUUCCGUUCUAGUUUCCAAGUUUCCAGGGGGGGUGGCAAGCGCCCCCCAACCGCCCACUGAAAACUCCAACUGAUUUGGAAACGAAAUGCCAAGAAUUUGUCGAUUCGAUUACGUUGAGUGAGUGCCCAAAGGUUAUCCAUCAGAGAGUUUUUUCCACCCUCCCCCCACCCCCCGCUUUUCUUUCGUUUGCUUUUGGCCCCGGCAAUUUGGAACGGAUAUUGGCGCAAAACUUUUAUAGCUGCAAGUCGUGCUUACGUCCACAUGUAAAGACAGCCGCACUCCGCGCACGAAAACAAAAACAAUCUGAAAACGAGGAAAAGCCGAACGAAAAAAUCAAUUUCUCAUGGAUUUUUAAUGCAAAUGCUAUGGCUCCCCAUAUGGACAAGCCCGGUUCAGGCCACACACGGUCGCAGUGGACACGCACACGGGUAAUGUAUACAUAUCUAUAUACCCCAUAGAUACUCAGAUACCCAUGGAUAUAUGUAUGAGCAUAUGUUCAUGACAAGUAGCCAGCAGACGUCUCCAGAAAAGGAGGGGAAACCAGAGGAGGAGCAGGAGGAGGAGGAGUGGCAGAGUGGCGGAGAUUGAAACAAAACCACAAAUUGCGUUGACAAGUGCAGUGCACACAUGGAGCGCACCACGAGCACCUUGGCGCAGCCUGGGAUUUAUGGAUACGGAUCGGAGGUGCCGGAGGAGUCGGUGGAGCUGGAGGGGAUGGGCAUGGGCAUGGGGAUGGGGAUCGCCGACGGGGGACAGCGGGCAUGUCAACAACAUUGUGACAACGACGACGACGUCGACUUCGACUUCGUCAAUAAUCAGACGCUGAACCCAAAAGACGCAGCAGCAGACGAUGUCGUUUCAAGGCGACAAUGACAGACAGCAGCAGCAAAAUCAACAUCAAAAGGAAGUCUAUCUGGGGUAUAGUGAAUCUAGCAAUACCCUAGGCCAGUUACUUUUAUAUGUCUGGGGAGUCACAGAAAUCCAAACAUUGUUUAUUAUAAGCAACCAAAAGUCCGAUAAAACGUAUUACGUGUAAAGUGUACGCCAAGCGUGAUUCUGCA